GACUCUGGGCUAUGACUCCUGUCUUCUGCUCGGGGCCUCCGGUCGCCUGGCUCCGGCCCCACCCCGCCAUCCCCUGGCCCUGGCUGACUCGCCACCCCCGACACUGCAGCGCCUGCCGACCUCGGGGCCCCGCCCUCUGCCUUCGCUCGCGCCGCUCUCCUUCAGUCUCCCCAGGGCCUGUUUCAUGGAUAGGGUCCCCUUGCCCGCGUGAAAGUCUCAUUCCUCCUCAGCUCAGAAACACUCCAAGGUCUCGGCGCCCUAUACUGGCCUUCCCUCAUCCGAAUACCCCUCGUGCUCCUGAUGUACUUUUCCAUUCCCACUCCCUACUCUGGCAGUCUAGCUUCUAAGCUGAGGAGUUUGGCCUUCGCUCCAGGUGCGGGGACUCGUGGAAGGAUUUGAUUCGCGCUUGAGAAAGAUCGCUCCGCUCCUGUAAGGAAGAGAGCGUGUAGGGGCUGCAACCAGAGACACAGUCAGAAGCUCCGAGGCUACCGCGAUGGUCCAGGUGCCACAGGACACAGCCUAACAGAGGCCCAGGUUGGAGCCAUGGACCAUGGAGUCAUGAGAAUGGAAGGGAAGCUGACGCCAUGUGGGAUGGGGUAGAACUGUCCGCAAAUUCGUCCCGCCUCUGGAGUCUUCAGACCAGUCAAGGCCGAAAUUCAACCAAGCCUCUCCUCUCUCUAGCUGUUAUUUGUUUGCAGCACGCGGUCUGGUGGCACCCUGCAGGAUUUACCAGCUUUUUGCCAACAUUCUGGCCUAUGCAAUCAAUACGUCCCUUCAGCGUUGCACUUGGAUGGAUUGGACCUAUAGUUGUUAUAUAUGGAUAUUGUCUAAUUUAUUUAUUACAGUAUUAACUGACUCCUAUGUUCUGGCCUUCAGAAUUUCUCCUUUGGAUCAAUUACUAGCCUGUCUUACAUUUUCUGCUUCAUUCUUUUAAAAUGUUUAGAGAUGAUUUGCUAAGUUUUCUUCAUUGCUGUCAAUGAUGCAAUUUAAACUGUCAAAAAAAUUUUUUCUCAAGCAGGGUAGUAAUGGUGAACCAUUCCCUUGCUAUUCAGACAGCAUGGUUUAGAUGAGGCGCACCUAUCCCCAGCUUUAGGAAUGGAAACAGGACCCAAGUCUGGCUAAUCAGAGACUGGUUUAGGGUCGGCCCCAUGGUCUGAGCCAGACCAAUGAGAAUUGGUAGAGGGACUUCCUUUUGCAACUUCUAUUUUAGAAUCGGGGGUAUAUAUGCAGGCUUGUUACAGAGGUAUAUUGCAUGGUGCUGAGGUUUGGAGUAUGAACGAAUCCGUCCUUCAGGUAAUGAGCAUAGUACCCAAUAGGUAGUUUCAACCCUUGCCCCCUUCCUCCUUCCCCAGUCUUGUAUUCCCCAGUGUCUGUUGUUCCCAGACAUUGAUCUUUUUCCUCUAUGUUGCUAAGCUGGUAGAAAGGCUGGAGUUGCUGGCAACCAUCUUUGCAACCAUGCAGGGAGAACUACUUUGGAAAUGAAGCAAGAUAAAGAAGAAAACAGAUAAAAGGAGACAAAUGUUUGACUUUGUACAGCUGGAAACCAGCAAUGCUGGAAAUGAGCACUGAAGGCAGUUUAAUGGGUUUGUCACUUGUAACCAAGUGACCCAUGGCAAGCUCACAGAUUUGUAUUGGCAGAAUUCCUCCUUUUCUUUAUUUAAAAUGGUACUUUUGGCCAGGCAAGGUGGUUCACACCUGUAAUCCAAAGACUUUGGGAGGCCGAGGCGCACUGAUCACCCAAGGUCAGAAGUUCGAGAACAGCCUGGCCAACAUUGGCGAAACCCCAUCUCUACUAAAAAUACAAACCAUUAGCUGGCUGCGGUGGCCUUUCUACCAGCUUUUUGUCUCAAAAAAAAAAAAAAAAAAGUGUGGUCUAUGUUGCCAAGGCUGGUA
rnacentral:lncRNA from 10 species